AUGGAUGUGUGGCGCUUCCGCUGCAAGAAUGCCAAGGCGCUCCGACUCGCCAGCGAGUUGUCGGAGCGCGGGGCAAACAAGGAGGCGGCGGCAAAGGCGGCCCGCCAUGCGAAGGAGCAGGACCGCCUGCUCCGCGGGCUGUCGGGCAUGAGGUGCAGCUCGACGACGACGCACCUUCGCACGGUGACGCCUGCACGGAGGUGGGGCACAACCACGCCACGACCAGAAGGGGAAGGGGCCGGCGAGGAAAUGGUGAUUUCCUCCGCCCUUCCCCGUUAUGUUUAUAUUUUAGUGUUUUAA
rnacentral:rRNA from 1 species